GACGAACGCUGGCGGCGUGCUUAACACAUGCAAGUCGAGCGGUAAGGCCCUUCGGGUACACGAGCGGCGAACGGGUGAGUAACACGUGGGUGACCUGCCUCUAGCUCUGGGAUAAGCCUGGGAAACUGGGUCUAAUACCGGAUAUGACUCCACGGCGCAUGUUGUGGGGUGGAAAGCCUUGUGCGGCUAGAGAUGGGCCCGCGGCCUAUCAGCUUGUUGGUGGGGUGAUGGCCUACCAAGGCGACGACGGGUAGCCGGCCUGAGAGGGCGACCGGCCACACUGGGACUGAGACACGGCCCAGACUCCUACGGGAGGCAGCAGUGGGGAAUCUUGCGCAAUGGGCGAAAGCCUGACGCAGCGACGCCGCGUGA
rnacentral:rRNA from 1 species